AUAAUCUAAGUGAUGAAACGUCAAUUCUGUAUGUGACUGAUGAAAGAGAGGUUUCGCAUCACAAAGCAAAAAAAAUCCUAUCAUGACACAGUGUUUGCAUUUUACUUGCACAUGCUGUAGGAAUAUAGACAGUAUGCAUCACAGGCUUAUAGUGCUGAUGUUCUCAAUAGUAUCCAAAAUUUUCUUUGUAGAACCAAAUAAGCAACGAAAUAUAUUAAUAAGUUUACAAUUUAGCUGUGUACCACAAAGAAUCAUGGAAACCAGAUUUUAGGUGUUUUGGAUGUGUGUGUUCAGUUCCGAAGGCAAUGGUUAACAAAUGUGUGUUUUUAGAUUUUUCAAAUGAAUUUCACCCUAUGGCUAGAGCAUCUUCAAUGAAAUGCAAAACUGUUCAUUUGUCUUUACCAUUAAUAGUUUAAUACUCAUGCUGAAAUAUUGAGGUCUUCUAUUUACGCUUUGUGUGCUAUGUUUUGCUCUCACUGUACUUCAGUAAGAAUAUUAUUCAAAUUCUUCACCACGAUGUCCUAUAUUUCUAUGCUUGCAGGUUUUCCACCGGGAGAACAAUUUCUAGAUGCUAAAUUGAAAUGUAUUGUCCAGUGUCUUGCGAUGUCAUUCUUUCAUUAUUCAAGCCCUUGAACACAGAACAAGGAAACAAGGAUAUUUCGGAGUCCCAGUUUCACUGACUUCGUGGACGCUGGAGCCACUGCCACCUUUACUAUGUGUGUGGUUAGGGUAUAGAUCAAACUACAAUUCAACAAUGGUCAUCUACACCAUCAGAUCUCCGACUAUAAAACUCCAUGCUAAUGUUCCAUAUUCCUCUUUUCUGCUAAUUUUUAGAGUUUAUCCUUCUAUGAAUUACCUAAUUUCAGUCACAACUGACAAAUAUCAGUCUAUUUGUUAACAUCUCCUUCUCCAUCAAGGUUUAUAAAUUGACUUAAGAUUAUGUAUGUGCCCCUAUCAUUUUUUUGGUUCGUCAACAUAUGAAGUAAUCAACCGUUCGAAUGAGGGAUUAGGAGUACAUCAUCUAAAAUAUUUCUAUUCCCAGUUAAAUGUGUACUGAUAAAUUUAACUAUCAAAGUCAUUGUAGUGAGAAAAAAUUUUGUUCUUAUUUGCAGGCAUUGUGUGGCGAUGAACACAUGACCAGCAAGGGGCCCUGCCCCCCUCCCAAUACUAUGGAUUUGUUCAUAAUAAACACAUGAACAAUGCAGCAUUUGACUUGUUUUCUGCUCCAACCGGCCCUCCCCAACAUCCUAAUCCCACUAAUCCCGCCUCCGCCACUGCAGGCAUGCCGGCCUUUUCUUAAUUGCUAUACUUUUGAGGACGCAUCACUAAAAAAACUAAAAGAGAGUAGUCCAAUUGAUACUUCCGAUGGACACACGACAGGUUGCUGAUGAUGUCGUCUAAUCCAUAUUGGAAGGUUUAAUAACGUACUUGAACACUAAAACUAUAUAAUGGAUGGUUCUAGAUGGGGGCAGGGAUCCUCUAUUUCCUUUACCAAAUGGAGUCGGUCGUAAUCACAUGUUGUCUGACCUUCUCUCUAUGCUCUCUUCACCUUAUUCUUUGCAUCAUUUCACCGGUACAAGUCAUCAGAUGGGUAUUACUGUUUCCAGUAUGUUGUGUGUCGGUGGCCUGAAGCACAAGCUACUCACUAUACUAUAUAGUACCGUGCUACAACCGUGAAUUUUGCAAUCCUGGUAUCCCCUAAUUUGAGGUGAUUUGUAUGCCAGGUUAUCCUAAUCUUUAUGUAUCUGAUGCUAAAACCAUCAUGCUUGCUUGCAGAGAUUCAGUUAAGACUUAAAUUAACAAUUAUGUAUCU